rnacentral:lncRNA from 1 species
UUCGUUAUUUUUUUGAAUCCCGACUCAUCUACUGCAUUGUAGAGAAAAUACAAUGUUGACCCAUCUCUUGCACGUGUUUUCUUCAAUGUUGCUAUCUGUGCCACCGUCUGAUCUUCGUCCGCAUCAGGCUCAACGUACCCUUCUUCCACCAUAUCCCAAACGUCUUGGGAUCUCAAUAAUGCCUUCAUCUGUAGGCACCAAUUAUCAUAAUUGGUUUUUCUCGUCAAUUGUGGCACACUCAUACCAUUGACAACCUUUGUCAUCUCUCACAAAAAA